GGAUAUGAGGGCAAUCUGGAUGCAGCAUCUGUCACCUCAUUGAUUGCCAGGGUUGAUGUGACCAAUAGCACUGGCUUGGGGGGUGCCUCCCUCUUCCUCAACAACCCAUGCAUAUCCCCCCAGAACUGACACUUUGUUUUUGAGACAUGGUUUGUACGUAGCUUUGGUGUCUGUCCUGGAGUUCUGUAGAUCAGGCUGAUCUCAGAUUCACAGAGAUCUGCCUGCUUCU
rnacentral:snRNA from 1 species